GGACCAGUGGCCUAGCCUGGUUAAGGCGCACGGCUGAUAACCGUGAAAUCGUGAGUUCAAACCUCAUCUGGUCCA
rnacentral:tRNA from 1 species